UAUAAGGAACCUUAUUUACGAGAAGGUAUCGCUUAAAGAGGGGCUUGCGUCACAUUAGUUAGUUGGCAGGGUAAAGGCCUACCAAGACUAUGAUGUGUAGCUGGACUGAGAGGUUGAACAGCCACAUUGGGACUGAGACACGGCCCAAACUCCUACGGGAGGCAGCAGUAGGGAAUUUUCGGCAAUGGAGGAAACUCUGACCGAGCAACGCCGCGUGAACGAUGAAGUAUUUCGGUAUGUAAAGUUCUUUUAUUGAAGAAGAAAAAAUAUUGGAAAAACUAUCUUGACGAUAUUCAAUGAAUAAGCCCCGGCAAACUAUGUGCCAGCAGCCGCGGUAAUACAUAGGGGGCGAGCGUUAUCCGGAAUUAUUGGGCGUAAAGGGUGCGUAGGCGGUUUAAUAAGUCUAUAGUUUAAUUUCAGUGCUUAACACUGUCCUGCUAUAGAAACUAUUAGACUAGAGUGAGAUAGAGGCAAGUGGAAUUCCAUGUGUAGCGGUAAAAUGCGUAAAUAUAUGGAGGAACACCAGAGGCGUAGGCGGCUUGCUGGGUCUUUACUGACGCUGAGGCACGAAAGCGUGGGGAGCAAAACAGGAUUAGAUACCCUGGUAGUCCACGCCGUAAACGAUGAGUACUAAGUGUCGGGAUUACUCGGUACUGAAGUUAACACAUUAAGUACUCCGCCUGAGUAGUACGUACGCAAGUAUGAAACUUAAAGGAAUUGACGGGACUCCGCACAAGCGGUGGAUCAUGUUGUUUAAUUCGAAGAUACACGAAAAACCUUACCAGGUCUUGACAUACUCUGCAAAGCUAUAGCAAUAUAGUGGAGGUUAUCAGGGAUACAGGUGGUGCAUGGUUGUCGUCAGCUCGUGUCGUGAGAUGUUAGGUUAAGUCCUAAAACGAGCGCAACCCUUGUCAUUAGUUGCCAGCAUGUCAUGAUGGGCACUUUAAUGAGACUGCCAAUGAAAAAUUGGAGGAAGGUGAGGAUCACGUCAAAUCAUCAUGCCCCUUAUGAUCUGGGCUACAAACGUGAUACAAUGGCUGUUACAAAGAGUAGCUGAAACGCAAGUUUAUAGCCAAUCUCAUAAAAGCAGUCUCAGUUCGGAUUGAAGUCUGCAACUCGACUUCAUGAAGUUGGAAUCGCUAGUAAUCGGCCGUAAAUUC
rnacentral:misc_RNA from 1 species